CCCCUCAAAUUUCCCAUCUUUUCCCUUCAACUGUUAAAUGGUGACACAAAAUCUCCCAGAGGUGUGUGACUGAGAUCAGGGCUUUUAUCAUACUGAGCUUGGGCCUGUUCUGCCAGGUGCUGCAGAGACCCCAACUGAGAUCUGGGCCCUGUUCUGCCAGGCGCUGAAGAGACCCCAGGUGUGUGACUGAGAUCAGGGCUCUUAUUGUACUGAGCGUGGCCCUGUUCUGAC